rnacentral:snRNA from 1 species
GAAACCGAACUCCUCCUGGAUGUGACACCUGCCACCCCACUGAUCGCCAGGGUUGAGUUGGUUGAUCUGGCUGGCUGGCAGGUGUCCCCUUUCUCCCUCACUGCUCCAUGUGUGUUCUCCCCGAAGCCACACACUUGGUCGAAGGGGACGAUCCUCCCCAAUAGAGGAGGACCGUUCUUUGGUGAAGGGUACACGAGUAGCUCUGCUCCCUCUUAGAGCCUCCAAACAAGCUCUCAAGGAAAGUGAACUGCUCCUCGGGAGCUAUGCAUCGGCUGUUAUUU